rnacentral:rRNA from 1 species
UGGGGAAUAUUGCACAAUGGGCGUAAGCCUGAUGCAGCGACGCCGCGUGCGGGAUGGAGGCCUUCGGGUUGUAAACCGCUUUUGUUUGGGAGCAAGCCCUUCGGGGUGAGUGUACCUUUCGAAUAAGCACCGGCUAACUACGUGCCAGCAGCCGCGGUAAUACGUAGGGUGCGAGCGUUAUCCGGAUUUAUUGGGCGUAAAGGGCUCGUAGGCGGUUCGUCGCGUCCGGUGUGAAAGUCCAUUGCCUAACGGUGGAUCUGCGCCGGGUACGGGCGGGCUGGAGUGCGGUAGGGGAGACUGGAAUUCCCUGUGUAACGGUGGAAUGUGUAGAUAUCGGGAAGAACACCAAUGGCGAAGGCAGGUCUCUGGGCCGUUACUGACGCUGAGGAGCGAAAGCGUGGGGAGCGAACAG